AACGAACGCUGGCGGCAGGCUUAACACAUGCAAGUCGAACGGGUGUAGCAAUACAUCAGUGGCAGAUGGGUGAGUAACACGUGGGAACCUUCCUAGGGGUACGGAACAACUCAGGGAAACUUGAGCUAAUACCGUAUACGUCCGUAAGGAGAAAGAUUCAUCGCCCCUAGACGGGCCCGCUCGGAUUAGUAGUGGUGGGUAGCGCCUACCAAGCUACGAUCCGUAGCUGAUCUGA
rnacentral:rRNA from 1 species